AAAUUGAAGAGUUUGAUCAUGGCUCAGAUUGAACGCUGGCGGCAGGCCUAACACAUGCAAGUCGAGCGGCAGCGGGAAGUAGUUUACUACUUUGCCGGCGAGCGGCGGACGGGUGAGUAAUGUCUGGGAAACUGCCUGAUGGAGGGGGAUAACUACUGGAAACGGUAGCUAAUACCGCAUAACGUCUUCGGACCAAAGUGGGGGACCUUCGGGCCUCACGCCAUCGGAUGUGCCCAGAUGGGAUUAGCUAGUAGGUGGGGUAAUGGCUCACCUAGGCGACGAUCCCUAGCUGGUCUGAGAGGAUGACCAGCCACACUGGAACUGAGACACGGUCCAGACUCCUACGGGAGGCAGCAGUGGGGAAUAUUGCACAAUGGGCGCAAGCCUGAUGCAGCCAUGC
rnacentral:rRNA from 1 species